GUCAUUAUCUGCCACACUUAGCAAGGAUGCGCCUCUAACUCCCUUUGCCGCUCCCCCCUCGUGACUGGGCUAAAGUUACGACGAAGUGAUAGUGUUGGCGAGGCGCUGUGGUGCUGUGAUGAUGACCUGGAAGGCGUGGUAACUGUGAUGAUGAUGUGACGGGAGACGAGGAGCGGAGGCAGAAUGGAUUGUAUUUCAAGGCCAGGCGAGUUCGGAGUAACAAAAGCAACACACACGCCGCAACGCAACGGAGAGGCAGUGUCCGCGCGGUAACUCGCUCGUGAUUCCCCAAGGACCCGUCACGCCUCCUCUUGUCUUAUGGCGCUGGUACAGAAUUCCUGGUGGUGAUGGACCCGAAGGCGUUGGCGAUCCGUUCAUCCGCAACGCAGUUUUGUAUUUCUUGCAGACGAAUCCUGUUGUGCUGUGGCGUUGUGAAGAGUCCCUCUCACCGCCGCCUUAGAGAACAGGUUGUUGAGGGACGACAGUAAUCCAUAUGAGAGAAACUGUUAUUAUUAAGGAAAAUGAAGCUCCUGUCCCGAGAUGAGAGAACUACAAGGCGGUGCUCGUCCUACUUAAAGCGGUGCUCCCCACGCCUCACCAGACCUCGGGACGCAUUCACUAGGGGAUGCAAGAAGGUGACAUUUACACACAAGUACACGUGUAAUGCAUUCACGAUCGACAGACAGCACGAAAGUUGAUCAAGUUUGCCAAUACGCACCAAUAAACUGACAUCAGACAUGCAUGAAUAAACACCAAAUGGAUGAUAAAUGUUUAUAAAUACAUAUACUCGUUGAUGUAUAGGCUGGCUGUGUAAAUAAAGGGAAACACAGGUGUGCAGACAGAUAAGCAAUAGCUAAGGGAUAUGCAUAUAGAGAGGUUGAUAGUCAUAAAGACAGAUAGAUUAACAUUUCACAGGUAAAUAAAUAGACAGGAAGGUAUAUUGAUCGGUAUAUACGAGUACAUACAUAAUUAUUAUAUACACACACACGCACACUCUAAUAGACAGACAGACAGGCACAUAGUUAUUGGUAAAACAUAAAAUAGAUAUGGAUUGAUAAAAAAAAAAAAAAAAAAAAAACAGAGACAGGAGAUGGAUACGUGAGCUAGGCAGGAACAAAUUUAAUAGACGCUACCUAUGGAUUUCCAUGUAAAAUAAAUA